GCGCAGGUGACGGAAGUGGUAUACGUCGGCAUGGCCGGGCCCGGAAGGGCGUGAGGGUUCGAAUCCCUCUCUGCGCA
rnacentral:tRNA from 1 species